rnacentral:rRNA from 1 species
CAAAGGGCGUACAGUGGAUGCCUAGGCACCGAAAGACGAAGAAGGACGCGACUACCUGCGAAAAGCUGCGGCGAGUUGGACGUAAACUUUGACCCGCAGAUGUCCGAAUGGGGAAACCCGAUAUGCUAACUACAUAUCAUACGAGCGGUGAAUACAUAGCCGCCGUAAGGCAACCCAGGGAAUUGAAACAUCUUAGUACCUGGAGGAAAAGAAAGAGAAUCGAUUCCGUCAGUAGCGGCGAGCGAAAGCGGAAGAGCCCAAACCAAGAAAUUGGGGUUCGGGGUUACAAAGAAUCAUGACGAAGAAGAAGAAGUGUUUGGAAUGGCACAUCUAAGAGGGUGAAAAUCCCGUAUUCGUAAGAGAGUCAUGGUCGUAACUACCAGAGUAGGGCGGGGCACGUGAAACCCUGUCUGAAUGAGCGGAGACCACUCCGUAAGGCUAAAUACUCUUCGGUGACCGAUAGUGAACCAGUACCGUGAGGGAAAGGUGAAAAGAACCCCGGGAGGGGAGUGAAAAGAAUCUGAAACUGUAUGCUUACAAGAUGUCAGAGACCGUUAAAGGUUGAUGACGUGCCUAUUGAAGAAUGAGCCGGCGAGUUAUGUAUACAUGCGAGGUUAAGGAGAAGAUCCGGAGCCGUAGCGAAAGCGAGUCUGAAUAGGGCGUUCAGUAUGUGUAUGUAGACCCGAAACCCGACGAUCUAGCCAUGAUCAAGAUGAAGUAAGGGUCAAACCUUAUGGAGGUCUGAACCGACGUUCGUUGAAACGACCGCGGAUGAAUUGUGGCUCGUGGUGAAAUUCCAAUCGAGUCGGGUAAUAGCUGGUUCUCCUCGAAAUAGCUUUAGGGCUAGCCUCAGAACACUACAUUUUGGAGGUAGAGCACUGAAUGAAAGCGAGCCGCGCCAAGCGGUAUCAAUUUCAAUCAAACUCCGAAUUCCGAGAUGCUUAUUCUGGGAGUCAGACUGUGGGAGAUAAGUUUCAUGGUCAAAAGGGCAACAGCCCGGACCGCCAACUAAGGUCCCUAAAUUCGCGCUAAGUGUUAAAGGAUGUAGAGAUACUUAAACAGCUAGGAUGUUGGCUCAGAGGCAGCCAUCAUUUAAAGAAUGCGUAACAGCUCACUAGUCAAGUGUCUCCGCGCCGAAAAUUUACCGGGGCUAAGCGCGAUACCGAAGUUGCGGAUAUUUCUAAAGAAAUGUGGUAGGGGAGCGUUCCAUUAGCAUAGAAGCCAUACCGGAAGGAGUGGUGGAGCGAAUGGAAGUGAGAAUGCCGGCGUAAGUAACGAUAAGAGGUGAGAAUCCUCUUCACCAUUUGACUAAGGUUUCCUGGGCUAGGUUCGUCCACCCAGGGUCAGUCGGGACCUAAGACGAGGCCGAAAGGCGUAGCCGAUGGACAGCAGGUUAAUAUUCCUGAACCCGGUUGUGUGCGAUCGCAGUGACGAAAGCGGUUAGGUUUACCCACGAAUGGAAGUGUGGGGAGAUAGUGAUAAGCUGUCGGCUAGAAUCCGACACCAAGUGAAACACCGAAGUACGAAAGGGGUGACCUGAGUAGGAAGUAGCUGAUACCGAUUUCCAAGAAAAGCUGCUAGCUUAAGCACAAUCGGCCCGUACCGAGAACGGACACACGUGGUCAAGGAGAGUAUCCUAAGGUGAGCGAGAUAACUGUUGUUAAGGAACUCUGCAAAAUUACUUCGUAAGUUAGCGAGAAGAAGUGCUCCGUAAAAGGAGCCGCAGUGAAGAGGCCCAAGUAACUGUUUACCAAAAACACAGCUCUAUGCUAAGUCGUAAGACGAUGUAUAUGGGGUGAAGCCUGCCCGGUGCCGGAAGGUUAAUAGGAGAGGUGAAAGCUUUGAAUUGAAGCCCCGGUGAACGGCGGCCGUAACUAUAACGGUCCUAAGGUAGCGAAAUUCCU